rnacentral:rRNA from 1 species
UACGUAGGAGACAAGCGUUGUCCGGAAUUACUGGGUGUAAAGCGCGUGUAGGCGGUAGGCCAAGUCUGCUGUGAAAUCGCCCGGCUCAACUGGGCGCGGUCGGUGGAAACUGGUCAACUGGAGGACGGUAGAGGCGAGUGGAAUUCCCGGUGUAGUGGUGAAAUGCGUAGAGAUCCGGAAGAACACCGGUGGCGAAGGCGGCCUGCUGGGCAGUAGCUGACGCUGAAGCGCGACAGCGUGGGGAGCAAACAGG